AUUGAACGCUGGCGGCAGGCCUAACACAUGCAAGUCGAGCGGAUGAGAGGAGCUUGCUUCUCGAUUCAGCGGCGGACGGGUGAGUAAUGCCUAGGAAUCUGCCUGGUAGUGGGGGACAACGUUUCGAAAGGAACGCUAAUACCGCAUACGUCCUACGGGAGAAAGCAGGGGACCUUCGGGCCUUGCGCUAUCAGAUGAGCCUAGGUCGGAUUAGCUAGUCGGUGAGGUAAUGGCUCACCAAGGCGACGAUCCGUAACUGGUCUGAGAGGAUGAUCAGGCACACUGGAACUGAGAGACGGUCCAGACUCCUACGGGAGGCAGCAGUGGGGAAUAUUGGACAAUGGGCGAAAGCCUGAUCCAGCCAUGCCGCGUGUGUGAAGAAGGUCUUCGGAUUGUAAAGCACUUUAAGUUGGGAGGAAGGGCAGUAAGUUAAUACCUUGCUGUUUUGACGUUGCCAACAGAAUAAGCACCGGCUAACUUCGUGCCAGCCGCCGCCGUAAAAC
rnacentral:rRNA from 1 species